rnacentral:rRNA from 1 species
CAAACGGGUGCGGAACACGUACAGAACCUUCCUUUAAGCGGGGAAUAGCCCGGAGAAAUCCGGAUUAAUAUCCCAUAGUAUGUUAAAGAGGCAUCUUUUUGACAUUAAAGAUUUAUCACUUAGAGAUGGCUGUGCGGCUGAUUAGGUAGUUGGUUGGGGUAACGGCCCACCAAGCCAGCGAUCAGUAACUGGUGUGAGAGCACGACCAGUCACACGGGCACUGAGACACGGGCCCG